AGCGGACAGUUCAGCCAACUUGCUUAGGCGACCCUCACGCUCAUUCUCAACGAGGGUCUUGACAUCAGAGAGAAAUUUACGGUUUAACUCAAUGGCCUGCUCAACUAGUUCAUUGCGAAGGCGUUGUUCGGCCACUUCAUGAGCCCUCUGAAGCUCUGUGUUGACUUUUUCCUGGUAUGACCUGGCGAUUUUCUCUCGUUCAGAUUCAAACUCUUCGCGAAACUCAGCAGCGUCCUGGGUGCGGACUUCGUCAAUACGUCGAAUGAGCUCUGCGGCAGACUUGUCAAAGGCGGCGUGCGCAUUUCUGAUUUCUUCCUGCGCCGAUUCCUGAGCAUCUUUCUUCAAAGCAACGAUGCGGUCCCCGAUCCUCUGCAACUCCUCCUUCGCCUUGGCAAUGGGGCCGGCGAACUUAGAGGCAGAUUCAUCAGCGCUGAUUACGGAAAUUACGUCAUUGAAGACUUUAACUAGGUCCUGCACGACGGGCUCAUCCGCUUUAUCCUGGACCAAGCGCUCGAUGGCAGUAACGGCCGGAACUGCUGGUUGCCUUGGAGCCUCCAAAUUCUUCUCCUCUGUCUUUGCAGGUUGAGGUUCGAGAGCCUCUUGAAUUGGUAUGUUUGCAGCCACGUCCUCCUUCUUAGCCGCUGAUUUGCUCUUCACCUCCUCCUUGGCCUUUUCAGCAACCUUGAUAUCUUUUGUCGGCUCAUUCGCAUGGGCGGUGCCCAUGCGUCUUCCUUUCUUAGUCAUAUCGGUCGCUUCCUGUUGCUCUUCUGCAACCUUCCAUGACAAUCCGCUUCCGCUUGGUAUCGUAACCUGAGCACCUUCAUCUUUUGGAACUGUGACGCGCCGAUUAAUCUGUUUUGUAACGUGAGGGAACCGGUUCCGGAAAUCACGUUCUUCAAGAUACAGAACCGCCUCCUCGCCAUAUGGGAUAUAUUCGGUGAAGAAAUCGUAGAAGUUAUCCGACCUAAGGGAGUACCAGACACCCCCAGCAUACGCAAGCCCAGCUGUGAGAAACAGGUAGAGUAGUUUGCGUAAUCGGCUGGAUUUGGGGCCCGGCGGCGGCGGCGGUGUGGAGGACUCAUGAUCUGGCGGCAGCACCUCUGAGCCUGGAGAAGUCUGACCUUGAACGGGAGGAGAUUGGGGCGGUUUGGGAAUACUUUCCGGGCGGAGGGAAGAUCGACUUGAUGGAGAGGCCGGUGAUCGGACGUCCGCAUCACUUGGACCUGGAGGUUUCGUGCUUGUUGAGCUUGCAGCUUUCUGAAAGAACUGUGAAGUGGUUGCGGUAUUGGGGGUUAAGGAGCAUCGACGGCCGGCAUUUGAUUUUCUAGCAAGAGCAUGAUAUCUCUGCGUGAGUACUAUCAGCAAUAAGUUAGACAAUAAUAGGUAUUCGGGAUGAAUUUACCCUAGUCGCCGUAUUGACCCGCCUGGCUCUUGAGGUACAUAGCCAUUGUGCAGGCGCCUUGGGACAGACUGAGGAAGGGAGCAACGGACGGCUCGACGCAAUUGAAGUGCGCAGCAUGGCGUGCGACACUGUCAAAAAAAUGGUCGAUUGGCGGGGCCAGAGGGGGAUUAGUGAGGCACAAGAAUUGCCAGAGAUCUUCAUUCAGCUGUGUUGAGAUUUGAAGUUGCUUGGAAAUUUAGCGUGGUUGGCACCAACCACACAUGCACCAGCCACACUUCAAUGCUAGGAACCGAAAACAAGAAUAGAAAUAAUAUCU
rnacentral:sRNA from 2 species